GCCGUAACACAGGUGCUGCAUGGCUGUCGUCAGCUCGUGUCGUGAGAUGUUGGGUUAAGUCCCGCAACGAGCGCAACCCUUGUCAUUAGUUGCUACAUUCAGUUGGGCACUCUAAUGAGACUGCCGGUGACAAGCCGGAGGAAGUGGGGAUGACGUCCAAGUCCUCAUGGCCCUUAUAGGUGGGGCUACACACGUCAUACAAUGGCUGGUACAAAGGGUUGCCAACCCGCGAGGGGGAGCCAAUCCCAUAAAGCCAGUCGUAGUCCGGAUCGUAGUCUGCAACUCGACUACGUGAAGUCGGAAUCGCUAGUAAUCGUGGAUCAGAAUGUCACGGUGAAUACGUUCCCGGGUCUU
rnacentral:rRNA from 1 species